CUGUUUCUCCAGAACACUAACCACGUGCUCCACUUUCAGCUGAUCUCCUGUUUUGACUUUGUUAUAUAUCUGAAAGGGGAAUACAAGUUUACAGCUGCAACUGUAAAGCCUCAGUCCUUAUCAAGUUUCAGAGCUGAUUGUGAGAUAAGGACAAGGGCUGCCUGGCAGCAAAGCCAAACGCACCGAAAUGGCAGGGCUCCUGAUGUCCACGGCAUAGUCGGAAUCUGAUGGCUGGAUGUUCAACUUCAGAACAUUGUGCAGGGAAAGACCCUCAAUUCCUAAGCUGUGCAGGCCUUCCAUAACACGGGCUUCAUUGCGCAGCACGUCAAUCAAGCUGGGAGGAAAAGGAAGAGUUUAAAGACAAAGCAAAUAACUUGCUCUUAUCCUAAAGUACCUCUCAUCUUGCAGUACCAGUUACACAUUUCUAUUAAGAAGAAAUGUUAAGAUGAAAACGAAGGAGAAACAGUGACCAAAGCAAACUGAAGAAUGGCAAAAGAACCAUGUGAAGUACCAAGAACAGGAAAGCAGCUUCAGA